GGUUUUGUCUCCUCCUGGAAGGAUCACUGGGUUAUGUGACUCUGAGGGUUUCUAACAGCGGACAGUAAUCACCAUCAUAGCACGGAACAUGUCACACACAACAGGAGCACCUGGCAAGAUUCAAGUUAGUACUAAACGUCCUGCAGGAUCCACUGCCGAGUUCUAUCUUGAAGGAUUUCUUGGGUCUUGUAUUCCUACAAAACAUUCUCCCUCGAGAGGCCAUACCGUGAAUUAGAAGGAACAAAGGUUACAUGAAGGCAACAGUAAUCGACGCUUUUUACUUCUUUAAAA